rnacentral:sRNA from 1 species
AAGGUUUCAAGAUCCGGUUGCGGUUCUAGUUCUUAUACUCAAUCAUACACAUGACAUAUAGUCAUAUUUAACUCCAAAACACUAACUAAGCUUCUUUUUGCUUCUCAAAUCUUUGAUGGUGAAGACAAAGUCCGUAUGAGUCUUUGGCUUUCUAUCUUCAAACAAGGAAACACUACUUAGGCUUUCAAGAUCCGGUUGCGAUUCUAGUUCUUAUACUCAAUCAUACACAUGACGUCUAGUCAUAUCUGACC